rnacentral:sRNA from 13 species
CUCUGGUCAAGAGAUACUCCCAGGGAUAGAUUUUGCUUGACUUCAAGAGGUUCUAUCUAUAGUAUUGCCUACAGUUUGCCACGGUCAUUAGAGUGGAUGCUAAUACAGAAGAGGUGUUAGUCACUUUGGGAGCAGUGAUCUUGAGAUUUCGAUGCUAAAUACGCUCAGAUUUGAAAGUUGGUGUCUUGAUAUUUCUUAGCUCCUCUAGAUCAAGAUGGCAGAGAACUUUGUAAGGAUAGGUCUCCCAUCCAUCACACAACAUUCAAGCACCAAUGGGUUUCUUUCAAGGAGUUGAAGAUAAGGUUGUUCCCCUUUACCAAGCUGAGAUGAUACA